UUGACAUGUGGGGUAUGAUUUUUUUUUUUAGUUUCUUUGAGAGGUUCUAAAGCAACCAAGUCACGCAAUUAUAGAUGGUGUAUCUCCCACCAUUCAAGGAAUCCUUGGCACCAAAACAUGUGGAAUAUGCUCUGCCAUUGGCUCGACUACCAGAAUAAUGAUUAUUCUAUCUUCUCACCUUCUCUUUUCUCUUCAUCUCUUUUUUCCUAUUUUUUUAUAUAUUUCAGAGCCAAUAAUGAUGAUGUUUAUCUUCAGUUCUGUAUGAAGGUUGCAAAGAUGGAGAAUCUAAUAUUCUUGAUGGGGUUAUGGAAACCCUAAACCCUCGAUCAUAUCUUCUUAUUUUUUAUCCUAAUGGAUUGACGGUGGGGUAGCUUCGAUGGCCGCUGAGGCAACCGCUGCAGCCAUUCCUUUAGGAGGAGGCUUGGAAGAGAGUGGAGGGAAAGGAAAUCAAAUAUUAUGAUCAUUGAAAAGCAAAUCUGAGCCUCUCUUUAUCUUUCUCUAGCUGUUUUAUGUUUUAUUUCCCUAUUUUCCUAAUGAGAUUUUCUAUUUCUAGAGUUAGAAUUUGAUGUUAGGUCUACGAUUUUUGAUAAUUGAGGUCAGUAUGGCUUAAGUUAAAAAGGCAUAUUUUUUAACUUUUUCUCAUGUUGAAGGAUUAAUAGGAUCAAACUAUUUCUCAUAUGUCAUGCAUGUACUUGGAGGAAAAAGAAGUGAGAAGAGUGGGGGAGAAAGGGAAGCCAAAUAGUAGAAUAUUUCACCCCCAAUGUGCGAUCAAACUGUUUCUCAUGUUGUACUUAAUUCAAGAGCUUUUUGCCUGAUUUUUCAGUGAGGUGAGUAUAAUGCAGCAUUUUGUUAAAAAAAUAUUUUGGACUUGGAUAUGGUGUCGUGUAAACAGUGCCCCCACAUCCAAUUAGUCGAAGAUUAGGAGGUUGAUAGGAUGUAUCUGACACCACAUCUAUCAGCCUAAUUUUGGAAUGAAUAUCAUCCAACUUGAUCGUUUUGAAGACCAUGGAGGAUUUAGCUGAAGCUAGAUUGAAGCUUGAGCAGCAUAUAGCAACUAUGGAGGAUCUAGUGGAGGUAUAACCCAAUACCAUUCUUGCUCUCCAACUUGUUGGUAUGGCAAAUAUGGCUGACUUGCAAGGAAAUGUGCCCAAUAAAUUUUAAUUGGCUUAAUCAAUUUAAAUUCUAAUCUGAUUGAACCUACUUGGAUUUAAAUCAGACCCAAUACAGGCUAAUGCAAAUCCAUUUAAUUUCUUUAAAUCGAAUUGGAUUAGUUUGGAUUCGGACUCAACCUGUUAACCCGAACCAACCCGUUAAUCAAUUUAAAUCUCCC